rnacentral:rRNA from 1 species
CACGUAGGGCGCAAGCGUUGUCCGGAAUUAUUGGGCGUAAAGAGCUCGUAGGUGGUUUGUUACGUCCGCUGUGAAAUCCUAGGGCUUAACCCUGGGCUUGCAGUGGAUACGGGCAGACUAGAGGUAGGUAGGGGAGAAUGGAAUUCCUGGUGUAGCGGUGAAAUGCUUAGAUAUGACAUAGAACACCAAUUGCGAAGGCAGCUGGCUACGCAUAUAUUGACACUGAGGCACGAAAGCGUGGGGAUCAAACAGG